GCGGCGCGCUUAACACAUGCAAGUCGCACGAGAAAGCAGGGGUAACCUUGUGAGUAAAGUGGCGUACGGGUGAGUAACACGUGGAUGAUCUACCCUCAGGUGGGGAAUAACCCUGGGAAACCGGGGCUAAUACCGCAUACGCUCGGGAGAGGAAAGCCGAAAGGCGCCGGAGGAGGAGUCCGCGGCCGAUUAGCUAGUUGGUAGGGUAAAAGCCUACCAAGGCUGAGAUCGGUAGCCGGCCUGAGAGGGCACACGGCCACACUGGCACUGAAAUACGGGCCAGACUCCUACGGGAGGCAGUAGUGGGGAAUCUUGCACAAUGGGGGAAACCCUGAUGCAGCGACGCCGCGUGAGCGAUGAAGCCCUUCGGGGUGUAAAGCUCUUUCGGUGGGGAAGAAGAAAGACGGUACCCGCAGAAGCAGCUACGGCUAACUACGUGCCAGCAGCCGCGGUAAUACGUAGGCAGCGAGCGUUGUUCGGAGUUACUGGGCGUAAAGGGUGUGUAGGCGGUCCUCCGUGUCUGGUGUGAAAUCUCCCGGCUUAACUGGGAGGGUGCGCCGGAAACUGGAAGGCUUGGAGUGCGGGAUGGGAGAGUGGAAUUCCUGGUGUAGCGGUGAAAUGCGUAGAUAUCAGGAGGAACACCGGUGGUGUAGACGGCUCUCUGGACCGUAACUGACGCUGAGACACGAAAGCGUGGGUAGCAAACAGGAUUAGAUACCCUGGUAGUCCACGCCCUAAACGAUGCACAUUUGGUGUAGGUCAUUCAUUUGAUCUGUGCCGGAGCUAACGCGUUAAAUGUGCCGCCUGGGGAGUACGGUCGCAAGGCUGAAACUC
rnacentral:rRNA from 1 species